GGCCCAGUGGCGCAGUUGGUUAGCGUGCCGCCCUGUCACGGCGGAGGUCGCGGGUUCGAGUCCCGUCUGGGUCG
rnacentral:tRNA from 10 species